rnacentral:rRNA from 1 species
AUUGAACGCUGGCGGCAGGCUUAACACAUGCAAGUCGAGCGGAGUGAUGGUGCUUGCACUAUCGCUUAGCGGCGGACGGGUGAGUAAUGCUUAGGAAUCUGCCUAUUAGUGGGGGACAACAUCUCGAAAGGGAUGCUAAUACCGCAUACGUCCUACGGGAGAAAGCAGGGGAUCACUUGUGACCUUGCGCUAAUAGAUGAGCCUAAGUCGGAUUAGCUAGUUGGUGGGGUAAAGGCCUACCAAGGCGACGAUCUGUAGCGGGUCUGAGAGGAUGAUCCGCCACACUGGGACUGAGACACGGCCCAGACUCCUACGGGAGGCAGCAGUGGUGAAUAUUGGACAAUGGGGGGAACCCUGAUCCAGCCAUGCCGCGUGUGUGAAGAAGGCCUUAUGGUUGUAAAGCACUUUAAGCGAGGAGGAGGCUCUUUUGGUUAAUACCCAAGAUGAGUGGACGUUACUCGCAGAAUAAGCACCGGCUAACUCUGUGCCAGCCGCCGCCGUAAGAC